rnacentral:misc_RNA from 1 species
GUAACAAGGUUUCCGUAGGUGAACCUGCGGAAGGAUCAUUACCGAGUGCGGGAACCCAGUCGGGUCCCAAUCUCCCACCCGUGUCUACCACACCUAGUGUUGCUUUGGCGGGCCCACUCCUCCGGUGUUCCGCCGGGGGGGUCGUCCCGGGGCGCGGUGUGCCCCCGGGGCCCGUGCCCGCCAGAGGCACUCACUGUGAACGCUUUUGUGAAUGCGAGGAUUGUCUGAGUGACGAAAUGCAAUCGUUCAAAACUUUCAACAAUGGAUCUCUUGGUUCCGGCAUCGAUGAAGAACGCAGCGAAAUGCGAUAAGUAAUGUGAAUUGCAGAAUUCCGUGAAUCAUCGAAUCUUUGAACGCACAUUGCGCCCUCUGGUAUUCCGGGGGGCAUGCCUGUCCGAGCGUCAUUGCGAACCCUCAAGCACGGCUUGUGUGUUGGGCCGCCGUCCCCUCGUUUGGAGGGGACGGGCCUGAAAGGCAGCGGCGGCGUCGCGUCCGGUCCUCGAGCGUAUGGGGCUCUGUCACGCGCUCAAGGAGGGGUCCGGCCGGGGCCAUAGCCUCUGAAGGUCAAUUCUUCCAAGGUUGACCUCGGAUCAGGUAGGAGUACCCGCUGAACCUAAGCAUAUCU